CGGAGGGUGCAAGCGUUAUCCGGAUUCACUGGGUUUAAAGGGAGCGUAGGUGGGCUUGUAAGUCAGUGGUGAAAUCUCUGGGCUUAACCCGGAAACUGCCAUUGAUACUAUAGGUCUUGAAUUCUCUGGAGGUAAGCGGAAUAUGUCAUGUAGCGGUGAAAUGCUUAGAUAUGACAUAGAACACCCAUUGCGAAGGCAGCUUACUACGGAGACAUUGACACUGAGGCUCGAAAGCGUGGGGAUCAAACAGGAUUAGAUACCCUGGUAGUCCACGCCCUAAACGAUGAUUACUCGACAUUAGCGAUAUUACUGUUAGUGUCUAAGCGAAAGCACUAAGUAAUCCACCUGGGAAGUACGACCGCAAGGUUG
rnacentral:rRNA from 1 species